AUUGAACGCUGGCGGCAGGCCUAACACAUGCAAGUCGAACGAGUGGCGGACGGGUGAGUAAUGUCUGGGAAACUGCCCGAUGGAGGGGGAUAACUACUGGAAACGGUAGCUAAUACCGCAUACCAUGGGAGGUGCCCAGAUGGGAUUCGCUUGUAGGUGUGGUAACGGCUCACCUAGGCGACGCUGCCUAGCUGGUCUGGGAGGAUGACACGCCAAACUGGAACUGAGACACGGUCCAGACUCCUAGGCGAGGAAGCAGUGGGGAAUAGUGGACAAUGGGCGAAAGCCUGAGCCAGCGAUGCCGCGUGGGUGAAGAAGGUCUUCGGAUUGUAAAGCACUUUAAGUUGGGAGGCGGUACCAACAGAAUAAGCACCGGCUAACUUCGUGCCAGCAGCCGCGGUAAUUC
rnacentral:rRNA from 1 species